AAGGGGUACAGGUGCUUCUUACCU
rnacentral:siRNA from 1 species